GCGACGCCGCGUGAGCGAUGAAGGCCUUCGGGGUGUAAAGCUCUUUCGGCGGGGAAGAUAAUGACGGUACCCGUAGAAGAAGCUGCGGCUAACUACGUGCCAGCAGCCGCGGUAAUACGUAGGCGGCAAGCGUUGUUCGGAAUUACUGGGCGUAAAGGGUGCGUAGGCGGUUUUUUAAGUCUGGUGUGAAAUCUCCCGGCUCAACUGGGAGGGUGCGCCGAAUACUGUCAGGCUAGAGUGUGGGAGAGGAAAGUGGAAUUCCUGGUGUAGCGGUGAAAUGCGUAGAUAUCAGGAGGAACACCUGUGGUGUAAACGGCUUUCUGGACCAUUACUGACGCUGAGGCACGAAAGCGUGGGUAGCAAACAGGAUUAGAUACCCUGGUAGUCCACGCCCUAAACGAUGCAUAUUUGGUGUGGGCCAUUCAUUUG
rnacentral:rRNA from 1 species